AGUACUCGGUGAUCAAAAUAGAUUAAGGAGAGGCCAUACGAAGGAGUUUGGACUUCAAUUUGCAGCAAGUGAGUUACAAUCGAGGGCUUUUGAGAAGAGGAUGUUCUGCAUUUUAGGAAAAUCAUCCAAACAGCAUUUUGAAGGGGGUGGGGCUUAAGAGGAAGCUGAUGGAAAGUAAUCUUUGUGAAGGAAGGAUUGCAGCCACCUAGUCAGGAGAUGGUGACGAGAAGGCAAAGACAUUAGCAGUAGGAAUUCAAAGAAUGGUUGGCAGACAUUUUGAGGAAGAAAUGACAGAUUUGAUCAUCGAUUGGAGGGAGGAGUCCAAAGUGAAACCAGGGUGUCUACAAUGUGAAUUCACAAGAGGAGGAGGGCUCCGUAGCUGGCAGGAUGGGGCGUUACUGCAACGCGGGGCAUCUAGAGGCCGUGUUAUGGUCAAAAUGGUUACAAGAAAAGACCCUGCAGGUAUUUCAUAUUGUGAGUCUGUAGUUUAGAAAAAUAAAAGAAGAAUGUUCCAUGCGCAGAAAAAGUUCCACUACUAUAAUUCCUUAUGGUAAUUCUAAAAUUCUGUAAGAUAAAAAUUACAAGCUUUUAUGAGGUUUGGUGCCAAAACUUAUUGGGUGAUAAACCUAACCUGAACAAAUGUGAGGCUAUCUAUAGACUUUAUCCUACUCAAAGUCAAUAUUCAUUUUUUUUUUGUUGCAGAAAUAAUACACUUAAAUGUACAGUACUGUCCCAAAUUUACUGGGCUGAGGGUUUUUAUAUUAAAUGGUGCAUGUAUCAAAUUAUCAUUUAAAAAUAAAAAGUGGAUAUAAUUUCUGAAAUGUAUCUGUUCCCAAGGUUUUAGAUGAAGAAUUGUGGAUAUAUAUAUCAAUACCUACAGUGGUUUUUUAACUUCACAUUUUAAGAAGGUAUUGUCUUAGUUUUAUGCAUUGGCAUAAAGCACAGUAAAUAAACAGAUGCCUCUUUUUAUCUGAAAAUUUUGGAGAAUAAAGCAUUCUUUGUAUGUGUCUUUUCCAUACACUCAUGCUUAGUAAGUUUCUUUGUCCAUAAAAUUGGGAUAAUAAUACUACCUACCUCAUAGAAUUGUUUAAACAGCUAAUGUACACCAUCUAACACAUAAGUAUGUUAGCAAAUUUAGUCAUUAUUAUCUCACCCCUUUAAUUAAUAAAACAUUUUUAAAAAGCAUUUUGGAUGAAAAACUUGUUUUCCCAACCUCUGAAAGUGCAAUGAAAAUAAAUGUGUCCCUUCUUGUUGAAUGUAAAGAGCAAAGAGUACCCCCAUUUCUUGAAAACCUAAUAUGUACUUGUUGCUUUAAUCCCACGAGAUGAACGUUAUUUUCCCCAUUUCACAGAUGCAGCAACAGAGAUUCUGAGAUGUUAAGUAGCAUGAUCAAGUUGCCCUCCAGUAAGGGAUAGGUUAACUUGUCUUUCCACUUCGUCUAGCUCCUAGAGAUGCACGGAAGAGACAGCAGAUAAAACACAUUGUCCGUGUGAGUAAAACAUUCACGUGGGCCUCUUCCUAGGCAUACUUCUGGUUACUUUUUAAUCAGCUAUAAGAAUGUUGUUUUUCCAUUUGUGCUAUUAGUCCUAUGUGGAUAAGGACAUACUUCAGACUCAAGAUUUCUAAUGAUGCCCCUUUUUAUCUACCUCGAACCAGUCCCUACAUCGUCCCCCACCAACAGUAACUUCUGGAAAUAACACCCAUUUGGCUUAUAAUAAUAAAGUCUAAUUUUCAGACAAGCUGCAAACGGUAUCUGUUAAUGUGAUCAUGAUUGGGAGGAGGAAAGGGAUGUGAGAGUGAGGUAAGAGUCUGGUAGUGGCGCACUGAGGGUGUGGGAGGGAAGCGUUCCCUUGCUGUAAAAGGGGAUUACCUGACCCAAAAGGAAAUCAAGUUUAUUGUAACUUGACUAAGUAAACAGCAAUGUAAUCC
rnacentral:lncRNA from 1 species